rnacentral:rRNA from 1 species
AUUGAACGCUGGCGGCAUGCUUUACACAUGCAAGUCGAACGGUAACAGGUUAAGCUGACGAGUGGCGAACGGGUGAGUAAUGCAUCGGAACGUGCCCGGUCGUGGGGGAUAACGCAGCGAAAGUUGCGCUAAUACCGCAUACGAUCUGAGGAUGAAAGCGGGGGACCGUAAGGCCUCGCGCGAUCGGAGCGGCCGAUGUCAGAUUAGGUAGUUGGUGGGGUAAAGGCUCACCAAGCCAACGAUCUGUAGCUGGUCUGAGAGGACGACCAGCCACACUGUGACUGAGACACGGCCCAGACUCCUACGGGAGUCAGCAGUGGGGAAUUUUGGACAAUGAGCGAAAGCCUGAUCCAGCAAUGCCGCGUGCAGGAAGAAGGCCUUCGGGUUGUAAACUGCUUUUGUACGGAGCGAAAUGGUCUCCUCUAAUACAGGGGGCUCAUGACGGUACCGUAAGAAUAAGCACCGGCUAACUACGUGCCAGCCGCCGCGGUAA